UAAGCGAAGGAAUGCACGCGGGGGAUGCCUAGGCAUCCGCCGGCGACGAAGGACGGGCCAAGCCCCGAAAGUCCGGUACGAGGCGCAAAGGGCCUUUGACUACCGGGGUUCCGAAUGGGGAAACCCACGCGCAAGCGUAUCCUCUCGACGAAUACAUAGUCGAGCGGAGGCAAACCCGGGGAACUGAAACAUCUCAGUACCCGGAGGAAAAGAAAUCAACCGAGAUUCCCGUAGUAGUGGUGAGCGAACCGGGAGGAGCCCAGACGGGUUGCGUACAGCGGAUUGCGAGCGAAGCGGGAUGGAAAGCCCCCCCACAGCAGGUGACAGGCCUGUAGCGAGCAAGAAACUGACGUCCGUCGAAGAGUAGGGCGGGACACGUGAAAUCCUGCCUGAAGACGGGGGGACCACCCUCCAAGGCUAAAUACGAGCGGAUGACCGAUAGUGCACAGUACCAUGAGGGAAAGGUGAAAAGCACCCCGAGAGGGGAGUGAAAUAGCGCCUGAAACCGCGUGCAUACAUUCUGUCGGAGGGAGGAUUCAUCCUCCUGACGGCGUGCCUUUUGUUUAAUGAGCCAGCGAGUUGCUCGUGUACGGCAAGGUUAAGGGCCUCAGGUCCGGAGCCGAAGCGAAAGCGAGUCUCAACUGGGCGACCAGUCGUACACGGCAGACACGAAGCCUUAGUGAUCUACCCAUGGCCAAGCUGAAGCGGAAGUAACAUUCCGUGGAGGGCUGAACCGAUAUACAUUGAAACGUGUUCGGAUGAGCUGUGGGUAGGGGUGAAAGGCCAAUCAAACUGGGCGAUAGCUUGUUCUCUCCGAAACAUAUUUAGGUAUGGCGUCAUGUUAGCUUCACGGGGGUAGAGCACUGGCAGGACUAGGGGGCACACCCGCUUACCAAACCCUAUCAAACUCCGAAUACCGUGAACGCGAUGCAUGGCAGACAGCCUGCGAGUGAUAAGAUCCGUAGACGAAAGGGAAACAACCCUGACCACCGACUAAGCGUCCCCAAGUACGUGCCAAGUGGGAAAGGAUGUGGAGCUGCACAGACAGCCAGGAGGUUAGCUUAGAAGCAGCUAUCCUUUAAAGAAAGCGUAAUAGCUCACUGGUCAAGCGGCUCCGCGCCAAAAAUGAUCGGGACUAAGCACGUCACCGAAGUCGUGGGCUCUGGCAACAGAGCGGUAGGAGAGCGUUCCGCAGGCCUGGGAAGGCGGGUGGCGAUGCCCGCUGGAGGCACCGGAAACGAGAAUGCUGGCAUGAGUAUGCGAAAAUGCGGGUGAAAAACCCGCACACCGUAAGUCCAAGGGUUCCCGGGCAAGGAUAAUCCUCCCGGGGUCAGUCGGGAUCUAAGACGAGGCCGAGAGGCGUAGCCGAUGACAACCAGGUGAACAUUCCUGGACCCUCCGAUAAGCGUCAUGACCGACGCGGCGACGCAUGGGAAUUCACGGGGCGGCCGAUGGAUGCCGCUGAAGGAGUGCGAGUCGCUGGGGCGGCAAAUCCCCCCAGCACAUGACCCAGGCUCCGGACCCCCGGAAGGCUUCGGCCGGAAGGGGCGCCGCGAUGGACCGUGCCAGGAAAAACCGCUAAGGGAGCGAACGGAGGCCCGUACCGUAAACCGACACAGGUGGACGAGGCGAAUAGCCUAAGGUGCUCGAGACAACUCGGGAGAAGGAACUCGGCAAAUUAACCCCGUAACUUCGGGAUAAGGGGAGCCUCCGGUGGUGAGCGUGAACAGCGCGGAGCCUCUGGAGGUCGCAGGGAAACGGCAGAAGCGACUGUUUACCAAAAACACAGGGCCAUGCUAACACGCAAGUGGACGUAUAUGGUCUGACACGUGCCCGGUGCCGGAAGGUUAACAGGAGGGGUCAGCGCAAGCGAAGCCCUGAAUCGAAGCCCCGGUAAACGGCGGCCGUAACUAUAACGGUCCUAAGGUAGCGAAAUUCCUUGUCGGGUAAGUUCCGACCUGCACGAAUCGUGUAACGACUUCUGCACUGUCUCCUCCCGGGACUCGGCGAAAUUGCAGUGCCGGUGAAGAUGCCGGCAACCCGCACCUGGACGGAAAGACCCCAUGAACCUUCACUGUAUUUUGACAUUGGUUUUAGGGCUGGCAUGUGUAGGAUAGGUGGGAGGCUUUGAGCCGGCGACGCCAGUCGUCGGGGAGCCGUCCUUGAAAUACCACCCUUGCCCGUUUUGAGAUCUAACCUCGUCCCGUCAUCCGGGACAGGGACCGUGUCUGAUGGUCAGUUUGACUGGGGCGGUCGCCUCCCAAAAGGUAACGGAGGCAUCCAAAGGUUCCCUCAGCGCGGUCGGCAAUCGCGCGCAGAGCACAAAGGCAUAAGGGAGCUUGACUGCGAGACGGACACGUCGAGCAGGUACGAAAGUAGGGCUUAGUGAUCCCGCGGUACAGCGUGGAAAGGCCGUUGCUCAAUGGAUAAAAGGUACUCUGGGGAUAACAGGCUGAUCUCCCCCAAGCGUUCAUAGCGACGGGGAGGUUUGGCACCUCGAUGUCGGCUCGUCGCAUCCUGGGGCUGGAGAAGGUCCCAAGGGUUUGGCUGUUCGCCAAUUAAAGCGGCACGCGAGCUGGGUUCAAAACGUCGUGAGACAGUUUGGUCCCUAUCCGGUGUGGGCGUUCGAGACUUGAGGGAAGCUGUCCUUAGUACGAGAGGACCGGGACGGACGAACCUCCGGUGUACCGGCUGUCGCGCCAGCGGCAUUGCCGGGUAGCCAUGUUCGGAUUGGAGAAACGCUGAAGGCAUCUAAGCGUGAAGCCAUUCCCAAGAUCAGGUCUCGCGGGGGCAACCCCCUGAAGGGCCGUCGGAGACUACGACGUCGAUAGGCCGCAGGUGUAAGCGUGGCGACACGUUGAGCCGAGCGGUACUAAUAGCCCGUGAGACGCUUUUCCUUUCUUUCAACGAUUUGGUUCAUCUACUGCGUGAGCAGCCCG
rnacentral:rRNA from 1 species